rnacentral:rRNA from 1 species
UACGAGGGGGCAAGCGUUGUUCGGAAUUAUUGGGCGUAAAGGGUGCGUAGGCGGUUUGGGUAAGUCUGAUGUGAAAUCUAUGGGCUCAACUCAUAGUCUGCAUCGGAAACUGCCGGGCUUGAGUGUGGGAGAGGUGAGUGGAAUUCCUGGUGUAGCGGUGAAAUGCGUAGAUAUCAGGAGGAACACCUGUGGCGAAAGCGGCUCACUGGACCAUAACUGACGCUGAUGCACGAAAGCUAGGGGAGCAAACAGG